CUCUCUCUCUCUCUCUCUCUCUCUCUCUCUCUCUCUGGGAGCAUUGGAUUAUAUUUUGGGCUGGAGGAUACUGGUGCCAUGGUAACAAGGUUUGCGAUGCGGACCUUCACGGCACAAGAUAAGCUAACGCCCCUCUGUAAACAGUCAAGCGGUGGCUAUAAGACGGGGGUAUGUGACAAUAUAAACAUAACCCCCUGUAAACGUACAACGGCAUAUCAUGCUAUAAAAAAGACGCUAGCUAACUACCGCUAGCUAACCACCGCUAUCUACCGCUAGAUAACUACAGCUAACUACCGCUAGCUAACUACAGCUAACUACCGCUAGCUAACUACAGCUAACUACCGCUAGCUAACUACAGCCAACUACCGCUAGCUAACUACAGCUAACUACCGCUAGCUAACUACCGCUAGCUAACUAUCGCUAGCUAACUACCGCUAGCUAACUACAGCUAACUACCGCUAGCUAACUACUGCUAACUACCACUAGCUAACUACAGCUAACUACCGCUAGCUAACUACAGCUAACUACCGGCAGCUAACUACCGCUAACUACCACUAGCUAACUACAGCUAACUAACAAUAGCUAACUACUGCUAGCUAACUACAGCUAACUACCGCUAGCUAACUACCGCUAGCUAACUACAGCUAACUACCGCUAGCUAACUGCCGCUAACUACCGCUAGCUAACUACAGCUAACUACCGCUAGCUAACUACAGCUAUCUACCGCAAGUUAACUGCCAAAAUAGGAAUAAUAACUAACUAUCAUAUCUAUGGUAACUACCACCACCCCUAUUGGAAUCUGGCUACCUAUAAAUACAGUCUCACUUUAAAGGAUUAUAAGCUCAUGCAUAAAAAUAAUUGACUAGGUAGGGUUGCAGACUUUCCCAGAAUUCAAAAGGUUUUUUUUCCCCAGAAAGUUACUGGAAAUAUUGUAACGACUAGAGUUGACCAAUCACACAGAUUCACUGAGGUCUGGAAUAUAGGCUAGAGAACAUGGGAAUGAUUCUAAAACACAUGGGAUCAGAUUAAAACUAAAUCAAAUGAUUCCUAAAACACAUCAGAUCAGAUUAAAACUAAAUCACAUGAUUCCUAAAACACAUCAGAUCAGAUUUAAACCAAAUCACAUGAUUCUAAAACACAUCACAAGGUAAACUAGAUAAACUCCUCACACCAGCCUCCUCUGACACACACACAGAGUCGAUGUGCGUCAUAUAGAUACUGGUUUCAUGUUGUACCAUGAGUGUGAGAGAGAGGGGAGAGAGUGGUAGGAAGUGUGUGUGUGUGUGUGUGUGUGUGUGUGUGUGUAUGACUGUCCUCCUCCUCUUCCUCAGUUAACAGAGGGAUAUUCAGGUGCUGUCUAGCAACCCUGCCACAGGGGGAUCAAAUUAAGACCCUACAUCUGUAUGAAUGUGUGUAUGAAUGUGUUUGUGUGGGUUUGUUAAGGUGUGUGUGUGUGUGUGUGUUGGUUAAGGAGUGUCUGUGUGUGUGUGUGUGUGUGUGUGUGUGUGUUAGUUAAGGAGUGUGUGUGUGUGUGAUGGUUAAGGAGUGUCUGUGUGUGUGUGUGUGUGUGUGUUAGUUAAGGAGUGUGUGAUGGUUAAGGAGUGUGUGUGUGUUGGUUAAGGAGUGUGUGUGUGUGUUGGUUAAGGAGUGUGUGUGUGUGUUGGUUAAGGAGUGUGUGUGUGUGAUGGUUAAGGAGUGUGUGUGUGUGUGGUUAAGGAGUGUGUGAUGGUUAAGGAGUGUGUGUGUGUUGGUUAAGGAGUGUGUGUGUGUUGGUUAAGGAGAGUGUGUGUGUGUGUUGGUUAAGGAGUGUGUGUGUGUGUGUUGGUUAAGGAGUGUGUGUGUGUGUUGGUUAAGGAGUGUGUGUGUGUGUUGGUUAAGGAGUGUGUGUGUGUGUUGGUUAAGGAGUGUGUGUGUGUUGGUUAAGGAGUGUGUGUGUGUGUUGGUUAAGGAGUGUGUGUGUGUGAUGGUUAAGGAGAGUGUGUGUUGGUUAAGGAGUGUGUGUGUGUGAUGGUUAAGGAGUGUGUGUGUUGGUUAAGGAGUGUGUGUUGGUUAAGGAGUGUGUGUGUGUGUUGGUUAAGGAGUGUGUGUUGGUUAAGGAGUGUGUGUGUGUGAUGGUUAAGGAGUGUGUGAUGGUUAAGGAGUGUGUGUGUGUUGGUUAAGGAGUGUGUGUGUGUGUGUGUGUUGGUUAAGGAGUGUGUGUGUGUGAUGGUUAAGGAGUGUGUGUGUGUGAUGGUUAAGGAGUGUGAGUGUGUGUGUUGGUUAAGGAGUGUGUGUGUGUUGGUUAAGGAGUGUGUGUGUGUGUGUUGGUUAAGGAGUGUGUGUGUGUGUGUGUUGGUUAAGGAGUGUGUGUGUGUGAUGGUUAAGGAGUGUGUGUGUGUGAUGGUUAAGGAGUGUGUGUGUGUGUUUGGUUAAGGAGUGUGUGUGUGUUGGUUAAGGAGUGUGUGUGUGUGUUGGUUAAAGAGUGUGUGUGUGUUGGUUCAGGAGUGUGUGUGUGUGUUGGUUAAGGAGUGUGUGUGUGUUGGUUAAAGAGUGUGUGUGUGUUGGUUCAGGAGUGUGUGUGUGUGUUGGUUAAAGAAUGUGUGUGUGUUGGUUAAGGAGUGUGUGUGUGUUGGUUAAAGAGUGUGUGUGUGUUGGUUAAGGAGUGUGUGUUGGUUAAGGAGUGUGUGUGUGUGUUGGUUAAAGAAUGUGUGUGUGUUGGUUAAAGAGUGUGUGUGUGUUGGUUAAGGAGUGUGUGUGUGUGUUGGUUAAAGAGUGUGUGUGUGUUGGUUAAGGAGUGUGUGUGUGUGUUGGUUAAGGAGUGUGUGUGUGUGUGUGUGUGUUGGUUAAGGAGUGUGUGAUGGUUAAGGAGUGUGUGAUGGUUAAGGAGUGUGUGUGUGUUGGUUAAGGAGUGUGUGUGUGUUGGUUAAGGAGUGUGUGUGUGUGGUUAAGGAGUGUGUGUGUGUUGGUUAAAGAGUGUGUGUGUGUUGGUUAAAGAGUGUGUGUGUGUUGGUUAAGGAGUGUGUGUGUGUUGGUUA